rnacentral:rRNA from 1 species
GGUUUUUUGAUUUUUUAUAAUAAAUUUGGCCUGCUCAGUGUAUUGAUAAAUAGCCGCGGUAAUUUGACUGUGCAAAGGUAGCAUAAUCAUUAGUUUCUUAAUUAGGAACUGGAAUGAAAGGUUUGACGGGGAAUUGCUUUUUUUUAUUAUUUUUAGAAUUUUAAUUUUUAGUGAAGAUGCUAAGGUGUUAUUAGGAGACGAGAAGACCCCAUAAAGCUUGAUAAAACUGGAAUUUUUUUAUUUAUUUUUAUUUAGUUGGGGCAACAUGUUUAAUUUUAAAAUAACUAUUAUUUGUUGAAUAGAUUUUUAGACUUAUUAGUGAUCCACGAAAAGUGAAAUUAAGAGAAGUUACUUUGGGGAUAACAGCGUAAUUAUUUUGGAGAGUUCUUAUUGAUGAAAUUAGUUUGCGACCUCGAUGUUGAAUUAGAAAACCUUUAGGCUGUAGUUGGUUAGGGAGGGGGUCUGUUCGACCUUUAAAUUUCUACA